rnacentral:rRNA from 1 species
AAGCGUGCGCAGGCGGUUUUGUAAGACUGUCGUGAAAUCCCCGGGCUCAACCUGGGAAUGGCGAUGGUGACUGCAAGGCUAGAGUUUGGCAGAGGGGGGUAGAAUUCCACGUGUAGCAGUGAAAUGCGUAGAUAUGUGGAGGAACACCGAUGGCGAAGGCAGCCCCCUUGGGUCAAAACUGACGCUCAUGCACGAAAGCGUGGGGAGCAAACAGGAUUAGAUACCCCAGU